AUGGCCGCUCCGCCGCCGGUGCUCACCUUGGCGGUGGAGAAGGGUCCGCGCAAGGGAGAGAUCUGCCAGUGCAGCGCUGGAUCCGCGCUCCGUGUCGGGCGCGUCAUCAAAGGCAACCACUUUGCCGUGCGCGAUAAGGGCGCAUCGCAGCAACAUCUCUCCAUCGAGUUCCUCCCGCCGCCCGCCGCCGGAUGGGUCGUCUCCGAUCUGGGAUCCUCCAACGGCUCCUUCCUCAACGACGUGCCCCUCGCGCCCUUUGUUCCCACCCCGCUUUCCCAUGGGAACCUGAUCAAGAUCGGCGAGUCCACCGUGCUCGCCGUGUCCAUCCCCUCCAAUUCGGAUCUGGGCACCGCCACCGCUGCCGACCCCGGAACUAGGCGCUCCUCGCGCUAUGCGGCAGAGACGGCGGCGGUGGAGGAGGAGAAGCCCCCUGCGGCGACCCGCCGGGGCACACGGAAGAAGGCAGCGGUGGCGGCGAUCCCCGAAGUGGAGAAUGAAGUGCCGGACGCGGCGGUAGUGGUAGUGGAGGAGAAGCCCCGCAGGGGCGGACGUAGGAAGGUGGCUGCAGUGGCUCCCCCUGAACAGACGGAAGAGGGGGAGAAGGAGGCCCCGGUGGGGAGGCGCCGUGGCGGACGGAAGAAGGCCGCGGAGACCUCUGAACCGGAGAAGGAGGAGGCCCCGCUGGCGCCGCCUGUUGGCGGGCGAAAGAAGACCACAGCAGUUGCUGAGUCGGAGAAAGGAGACGAGGAGGAGGAAGAGGGGGAGAAGGAGGCCCCGGCGGGGAGGCGCCGUGGUGGACGGAAGAAGGCCGCGGAGCCCUCCGAACCGGAGAAGGAGGAGGCCCCGCUGGCGCCGCCUGUUGGCGGGCGGAAGAAAACCACAGCAGCUGCUGAGUCGGAGAAAGGAGAUGAGGAGGAGGAAGAGGGGGAGAAGGAGGCCCUGGCGGGGAGGCGCCGUGGUGGACGGAAGAAGGCCGCGGAGCCCUCUGAACCUGAGAAGGAGGAGUCCCCGCCGGCGCCGCGUGCUGGCGGGCGGAAGAAGAUCACAGCAGCUGCUGAGUCGGAGAAAGGAGAUGAUGAGGAGGAAGCCCUGCUGGUGACGCGGAAGGAGGACACGGAGCCUCCUGAACUGGAGAAGGAAGACGAUGUGGAGGCCCAGAUGGCUACACGCCGUGGGAGGAGGAAGAAUGCUCCGACGGUCGCCCCUCCACCACAGCCUCUGAAGACGGGGUCCAGAGGGGGGCAGGGAAGGUUUACAAGAGCUGCUAGUACAAGGAAGGCCUUUCUAGAGGAUGAGGAAGUGGAGGAAGAGGAAGAACAUGAGGUGGCUGUGCCAAGAGAUCAGCCUGGCAACCUGUCGACUUUGACAGCGGUAAAGGAUGGUGAAGAGGAGGAGGAGGAGGAGGAGAAGGGGGAUAAGGUGACAGCUGACGAUGGAGAAAUCGAGGUGGCUGCAAAGGCAUUGGAGGAGGAAGUCCCCAAGGGGAGGGCUUCUGCUCAGUGUGCUGCUUCUGACAAUGAGGGUGAUGGGGAAAGGGGUGGCGGAGAAGAGGAAGAUGAUCGCAAUGGGGAUUUGCUUGGCAGUAGAAGAGAGGCUUCUGCUCAGUGUGCUGCUUCUGACAAUGGGGAUGAUUGGCAAAUGGGUGGAGGAGAAGAGGAAGAUGAUGGCAACGGGGAUUUGCUUGGCAGUAGAGGAGAGGCUUCUGCUCAGUGUGCUGCUUCUGACAAUGAGGGUGAUUGGGAAAUGGGUGGCGGAGAAGAGGAAGAUGAUGGCAAUGGGGAUUUGCUUGGCAGUAGAGGAGAUGUAGGAGAUGGGGCGAAGGUGGAGGAAUGUGCUGUUAGAAGCAGUCUUGAGACCAUGACAUUGCAGGAGUGGUUCGACCGGAUGGAAAAGUACCUCCCAAGGAUGAUCAACGAGGCUGCGGAUCAGAUGAUUGCGGAGUUGGAGGAGAAACAAAAGCGAGUCCAUGAGUACAUUUCAACGCUCAGUAAGAGCUCCGACCCUUCCUGA
rnacentral:rRNA from 1 species